rnacentral:rRNA from 1 species
CACGUAGAUGGCUUUGUAAGUCGGAUGUGAAAUCCCCGGGCUCAACCUGGGAACUGCAUUCGAAACUGCAUUGCUCGAAUGUGGAAGAGGGAAGCGGAAUUCCAGGUGUAGCGGUGAAAUGCGUAGAUAUCUGGAGGAACAUCAGUGGCGAAGGCGGCUUCCUGGUCCAACAUUGACAUUCAGGUGCGAAAGCGUGGGGGAGCAAACAGGAUUAGAUACCCUGGUAGUCCACGCCAUAAACGAUGAGAACUAGAUGUCGGGAGGGUUAACCUUCCGGUGUCGCUAGCUAACGCGUUAAGUUCUCCGCCUGGGGAGUACGGCCGCAAGGGUUGAA